rnacentral:rRNA from 1 species
UACAGAGGUCUCAAGCGUUGUUCGGAUUCAUUGGGCGUAAAGGGUGCGUAGGCGGUCCGGUAAGUCAGCUGUGAAAGUCAAGGGCUCAACCCUUGAAAGCCGGUUGAUACUGUCGGGCUAGAGUCCGGAAGAGGCGAGUGGAAUUUACGGUGUAGCGGUGAAAUGCGUAGAUAUCGUAAGGAAGACCAGUGGCGAAGGCGGGUCUCUGGACAGUUCCUGACGCUGAGGCACGAAGGCCAGGGGAGCAAACGGG